rnacentral:rRNA from 1 species
AAUUGGAGGGCAAGUCUGGUGCCAGCAGCCGCGGUAAUUCCAGCUCCAAUAGCGUAUAUUAAAGUUGUUGCAGUUAAAAAGCUCGUAGUUGAAUUUCGGGGUUAGUAGGCUGGUCGUGCCACAGGUAUGAACUGGUCUUACUGACUUCUCCUUUCUGAAGAACUGUAAUGCCAUUAAUUUGGUGUUGCAGGGAAACAGGACUGUUACUUUGAAAAAAUUAGAGUGUUUAAAGCAGGCUAACGCUUGAAUACAUUAGCAUGGAAUAAUGAAAUAGGACGUUCGAUCCUAUUUUGUUGGUUUCUAGGAUUGACGUAAUGAUUAAUAGGGAUAGUUGGGGGCAUUAGUAUUCAAUUGUCAGAGGUGAAAUUCUUGGAUUUAUUGAAGACUAACUACUGCGAAAGCAUUUGCCAAGGAUGUUUUCAUUAAUCAAGAACGAAAGUUAGGGGAUCGAAGACGAUCAGAUACCGUCGUAGUCUUAACCAUAAACUAUGCCGACUAGGGAUCGGAUGAUGUUAAUUUUUUAAUGACUCAUUCGGCGCCUUACGGGAAACCAAAGUGU